rnacentral:rRNA from 1 species
GACGAACGCUGGCGGCGUGCCUAAUACAUGCAAGUAGAACGCAGUUUCGCACGCGGGAGUAACACGUAGGUAACUGCCUCCUAGCGGGGGGUAACAAUUGGAAACGAUAGCUAAUACAGCAUACUGUGAGCUGGACCUGCGUUGGAUUAGCUAGUUGGUGGGGUAAAGGCCCACCAAGGCGACGACACAUAGCCGAACUGAGAGGGUGAUCGGCCACACUGGGACUGAGACACGGCCCAGACUCCUACGGGAGGCAGCAGUGGGGAAUCUUCGGCAAUGGACGGAAGUCUGACCGAGCAACGCCGCGUGAGUGAAGAAGGUGUUCGGAUCGUAAAGCUCUGUUGUAAGAGAAGCGGUAACUUACCAGAAAGGGACGGCUAACUACGUGCCAGCAGCCGCGGUAAUUC